CCCAGACAGCCAGGAUGUUGGCUUAGAAGCAGCCAUCAUUUAAAGAAAGCGUAAUAGCUCACUGGUCGAGUCGGCCUGCGCGGAAGAUGUAACGGGGCUAAACCAUGCACCGAAGCUGCGGCAGCGACACUGUGUGUUGUUGGGUAGGGGAGCGUUCUGUAAGCCUGUGAAGGUGUGUCGUGAGGCAUGCUGGAGGUAUCAGAAGUGCGAAUGCUGACAUAAGUAACGAUAAAGCGGGUGAAAAGCCCGCUCGCCGGAAGACCAAGGGUUCCUGUCCAACGUUAAUCGGGGCAGGGUGAGUCGACCCCUAAGGCGAGGCCGAAAGGCGUAGUCGAUGGGAAACAGGUUAAUAUUCCUGUACUUGGUGUUACUGCGAAGGGGGGACGGAGAAGGCUAUGUUGGCCGGGCGACGGUUGUCCCGGUUUAAGCGUGUAGGUGUGUGUUCCAGGUAAAUCCGGUUCACUUUAACACUGAGGCGUGACGACGAGGCACUACGGUGCUGAAGCAACAAAUGCCCUGCUUCCAGGAAAAGCCUCUAAGCAUCAGGUAACACGAAAUCGUACCCCAAACCGACACAGGUGGUCAGGUAGAGAAUAC
rnacentral:rRNA from 1 species